GAGAAAUAAAAUCUCUGAAUAGCAAUUGAAUUGGAUUCCAGAAUCUGAUUUCAAUGGGCAUGUCCUCCUGUCCUGAUGGACAGUUCCAGUGUAUUGAUUCUCAAGUCUGUGUUUCCAUGGAGCAAGUGUGUGAUUUCCACACCAACUGUUCAGAUGGAUCAGAUGAAGCGUUUUGUGGCUCUUGUGACUUUGAGAUGGAAAACAUCAGUACUAUGAGAAAGACACUUUGA
ensembl:lncRNA